AGCACAUAAGAGGACUUUCACAUAAUAGUCGUUAGACUUAGGGAACUCACUUUAGUAUCUUCAAAGCCUACUCGUGCCAUGUGUAGAUAGCAUCCCAUACUACUACCUACACGUUGUAGAACCUAUCCAAUAACUAGAGUGCACAUCCCACAUGAUGGGAAUAAGCAUAACCGACAUAGACCAUACUAGCUAGGCAUGGAAUCCGGAGUCUAUCCUACUCCGUGGAGGUUGUUCUACUUGCCAAAGGUAGAACUAGUAAGCAACCCAUGUAGGCACAUGGUUUAGGGGAUGUCCAAGGAAGUUCAUUGUGCCUAAUCUCAUACUCAACUAGGCCACCUUCCUAACCACAUCCACUCGGUGCUAGCCUUGUUUCCCAUAGAGUAUUCAAUCACAUAUGUACUUAGAGAAGGUUCCUUUUCUAGUUCAACCAACUCAUAGUACCUCUUCCCAAGAAAGG
rnacentral:lncRNA from 1 species